AGUCAUGGGAGUCGGUUCUGCCUGAAGGUAGUGCGCUAACCGCAAGGAGGCAACUAACCACGGUAGGGCUGGUGACUGGGACUAAGUCGUAACAAGGUAGCCGUUUCGGAAGGAGCGGCUGGAUCACCUCCUUU
rnacentral:rRNA from 1 species